ensembl:rRNA 5S_rRNA 5S ribosomal RNA
UCCACUCCCUUGGGAUGUCCAGUCACUUGUCAGCAUAUAAGGCCAUACCACCCUGGUCCUGGAAACUAAGCAGGAUAAGGCUUGGCCAGGAAUUGGAUAGGAGAUUGCCUGGGAAUACUGGAAGAGGUGGAC